CCCCGCCCAGUGCUGUGCUCGUGAUGGGGAGUAAGAAAGCGCACCCCAAGGUCACAGUCUGGGUGCGCCUGCCCCCGGCUCAUUCCGUCGGGGCAGAACUGAGGGGCACGCACAGCCUGUCACAGUGCACGUGCGGGAACCAGUAAUGAAGAGACAGCAUCUGAACCUAAUGCAAAAGCCUCCUUGCAUAUGGUCACUCUCUACAGGCCUCGCUCUUGACACCGGAGACCCAGAGAUGGAGUAGACAAAGCCCCCGCCUGUCAAAUCUGAACCGACUGCUUGGAAAAGUCACCUUCCUGCCCUUUUCAAAAAAGGGCUGACCCAGAAACGGUGAGGUCAAGUCCCAAAUCAACAAGAAACCUUGUGUGUGCGUGAGUGUCGGAGGUGGGAUUCUGCUCUGCAGGACGCUGCAGUGGGCUGGAGCAGCCCAGGAAGCCCAUGGAAACGGAGUGGGCUGCAUUCACAGAGUUGAAGAAGCCACGCCAAGGAACUCAAGACGGUGAAUCUCAAGGAUCCCACAGGGAAGAGCCUGUUUUGUUGAAACCGACAUUAGCAGUGAAGGGCAGGGCUUGGUCUUGCCGAAACCUGCAGCUGCCUUCCCUCGAGAGGCUAUUACGCUGUCAGCAAGUGCUGGACGAAUGAAAUGCAUGAAUGCCUUGCCCAGGCAGUGUCUUCAGGCCUAGGCACCGGGAGGCUGUCAUCCAGAAGGAGAAUGAUGCUAAGCAGGGCUCAGGAAGGUUUCCUCAUUUCACCUUCGGAGCAAGACGAAAGGCGGAUUCUGACUCCCCCAGUUUACAGGUGUGGAAACUGAGCUUCACUAAUUCGCCAUGCCUUUGCCUAUGACUUUCUCGGAUGGGACAUCUCAGGCCUCAGCAUUCAGGGCAACUUUAUGAAACCUCUCGAGGUCACACCACUAGCCAAGAUUCCAUGUACUGAGUCGUUUAUCACAUGCAAAACCUCUCGUAGGUUUUUGUUUUGACUGAAAACCAACCAUGUCAAUAGUUAUGUGGAUGAGGUGUUUUGGGGACCACAAAAGCGUCCCUGUUUGAUGGCACCAGAACAACAACCCUAAGAGGCAGGUGUUAUUAUCCUUUCACACGUGCAGAAACUGAGGCGGCAGAUCCUCUUAGCAGGGACCUAAGCCAGAGCCCUCCCAGCCUCUAGAAGCUGCACGCAAACAAAUAGCUCCCACCUCGGCCAAAGAGCACCCACCCAAACCCAGCAGGUCAUAAGGUGGCAUGAGCCCUUUGCCCGCGUGAUCUUGACUUUCUUCCUCAGGCCAUAAAAGGCCCCACUUAGAGGAAAAGGCAGAGGGCUUCCAACUAAUUAUACUAUCAGAGAGAUGCUUUCCAUCAUUUAUGACACGAUCACAUGUGGCUUUUCCUUUUGAUAUGAGCUCAGGAGAUCUUAAGCAGGUAUGCCAUCCAUCAAUGUCCAUGAGCCAAGUCAUACUAGGAACAGAUAAAAGGAAUCUGUCUGCCUGAAGUCCUCUGCAGAGUGUCCGGCUCAAUCCCCAGGCUGCAGAAAUGUAAUAAUUGUACCGAUAAUGGCCUCGAGGUAUUAAAGCCUUACUGGGCCGCCAGUUUCGCUGCUAAGCAUCCCUAACACACCUUCCCCCACUCCCUCUUCCCAAGAGUCCUCU
ensembl:lncRNA